rnacentral:rRNA from 1 species
CCUACGGGAGGCAGCAGUGGGGAAUAUUGCACAAUGGGGGAAACCCUGAUGCAGCGACGCCGCGUGAGUGAAGAAGUAUUUCGGUAUGUAAAGCUCUGUCAGCAGGGAAGAAAAUGACGGUACCUGACCAAGAAGCCCCGGAUAACUACGUGCCAGCAGCCGCGGUAAUACGUCGGGGGCAAGCGUUAGCCGGAUUUCCGGGGUGUAAAGGGAGCGUAGACGGCAGGGCAAGUCUGGAGUGAAAGGCGGGGGCUCAACCCCCGGACUACUCUGGAAACUGCCAGGCUGGAGUGCAGGAGAGGUAAGUGGAAUUCCUAGUGUAGCGGUGAAAUGCGUAGAUAUUAGGAGGAACACCAGUGGCGAAGGCGGCUUACUGGACUGUAACUGACGUUGAGGCUCGAAAGCGUGGGGAGCAAACAGGAUUAGAUACCCCAGUAGUC